UACGUAGGGGGCAAGCGUUGUCCGGAUUUAUUGGGCGUAAAGAGCGUGUAGGCGGCUUAGUAGGUCCGCUGUGAAAACUCGAGGCUCAACCUCGAGAUGUCGGCGGAAACCACUUGGCUAGAGUCCGGAAGAGGAGAGUGGAAUUCCCGGUGUAGCGGUGAAAUGCGCAGAUAUCGGGAAGAACACCUAUGGCGAAGGCAGCUCUCUGGGACGGUACUGACGCUGAGACGCGAAAGCGUGGGGAGCGAAUGGG
rnacentral:rRNA from 1 species